AAAACAAUAAUAAUUAUUUUUAUAGUAGUUUUUAUUAUUUUUUUAACGUUCAAAAUAAUUAAAACAAAAGACGCAAUCAGUCGUCGUUCUU
rnacentral:ribozyme from 14 species